UACAGAGGUCUCAAGCGUUGUUCGGAUUCAUUGGGCGUAAAGGGUGUGUAGGUGGCGCUGUAAGUCGGGUGUGAAAUUUCGGAGCUUAACUCCGAAACUGCAUUCGAUACUGCGGUGCUUGAGGACUGGAGAGGAGACUGGAAUUCAUGGUGUAGCAGUGAAAUGCGUAGAGAUCAUGAGGAAGACCAGUGGCGAAGGCGGGUCUCUGGGCUGACACUGACGCUCAUGCACGAAAGCGUGGGGAGCAAACAGG
rnacentral:rRNA from 1 species